ACGGGGCUCGUUCCUAAGCAGGGUAAAGGCGGACAUGACAAAUCCGGGGGUGCAGAACCCGCACUGGAGACCGUGUCGCUCAAUCAGGCGUCGCUGCAAUAAACACACACAAUAUACAUGUGCCGAUGCAAGAAACACACGCCCCGUAUUUGGACUGCCUACCCCCUCCACCGUGGUCACCGCCUUCCCGUGCACGGCACAUAGCGGGUAGAGACAAGCGUUUACAGCCACGUGCAUAGGUUGCAGUUAAGGAGAUCGAACCGAAAACGAAAUAGGAAUGCAUGCACGCGUCGGAACCGUAGCCGCAGUCUCACCCCACCCGAUCGCAGGCCAUAAUAUGUUGAGCGGUAGUCUUUCCGCUAGACUGUCGUUUCUUUCAAAUAUUGGGUUCUCUCAUUGUAGGUUUCUUUGAAAUAACUUUGCUGACCAUAUUGCACAUUUCAAGCAAGUAACUAUGCCAAGGAAAUGUAAACGUGUAAUGUGAA